rnacentral:rRNA from 2 species
CUCUGGUAUUGAUUGGUGCUUGCAUCAUGAUUUACAUUUGAGUGAGUGGCGAACUGGUGAGUAACACGUGGGAAACCUGCCCAGAAGCGGGGGAUAACACCUGGAAACAGAUGCUAAUACCGCAUAACAACUUGGACCGCAUGGUCCGAGCUUGAAAGAUGGCUUCGGCUAUCACUUUUGGAUGGUCCCGCGGCGUAUUAGCUAGAUGGUGGGGUAACGGCUCACCAUGGCAAUGAUACGUAGCCGACCUGAGAGGGUAAUCGGCCACAUUGGGACUGAGACACGGCCCAAACUCCUACGGGAGGCAGCAGUAGGGAAUCUUCCACAAUGGACGAAAGUCUGAUGGAGCAACGCCGCGUGAGUGAAGAAGGGUUUCGGCUCGUAAAACUCUGUUGUUAAAGAAGAACAUAUCUGAGAGUAACUGUUCAGGUAUUGACGGUAUUUAACCAGAAAGCCACGGCUAACUACGUGCCAGCAGCCGCGGUAAUACGUAGGUGGCAAGCGUUGUCCGGAUUUAUUGGGCGUAAAGCGAGCGCAGGCGGUUUUUUAAGUCUGAUGUGAAAGCCUUCGGCUCAACCGAAGAAGUGCAUCGGAAACUGGGAAACUUGAGUGCAGAAGAGGACAGUGGAACUCCAUGUGUAGCGGUGAAAUGCGUAGAUAUAUGGAAGAACACCAGUGGCGAAGGCGGCUGUCUGGUCUGUAACUGACGCUGAGGCUCGAAAGUAUGGGUAGCAAACAGGAUUAGAUACCCUGGUAGUCCAUACCGUAAACGAUGAAUGCUAAGUGUUGGAGGGUUUCCGCCCUUCAGUGCUGCAGCUAACGCAUUAAGCAUUCCGCCUGGGGAGUACGGCCGCAAGGCUGAAACUCAAAGGAAUUGACGGGGGCCCGCACAAGCGGUGGAGCAUGUGGUUUAAUUCGAAGCUACGCGAAGAACCUUACCAGGUCUUGACAUACUAUGCAAAUCUAAGAGAUUAGACGUUCCCUUCGGGGACAUGGAUACAGGUGGUGCAUGGUUGUCGUCAGCUCGUGUCGUGAGAUGUUGGGUUAAGUCCCGCAACGAGCGCAACCCUUAUUAUCAGUUGCCAGCAUUAAGUUGGGCACUCUGGUGAGACUGCCGGUGACAAACCGGAGGAAGGUGGGGAUGACGUCAAAUCAUCAUGCCCCUUAUGACCUGGGCUACACACGUGCUACAAUGGAUGGUACAACGAGUUGCGAACUCGCGAGAGUAAGCUAAUCUCUUAAAGCCAUUCUCAGUUCGGAUUGUAGGCUGCAACUCGCCUACAUGAAGUCGGAAUCGCUAGUAAUCGCGGAUCAGCAUGCCGCGGUGAAUACGUUCCCGGGCCUUGUACACACCGCC